GGUGACUCAGUGGUAGAGUGCUUGCCUUGCACGCAUGAAGCCCUGGGUUCAAUUCCUCAGCACCA
rnacentral:tRNA from 1 species